AUUAGGAAUCUUGCGCAAUGGGCGAAAGCCUGACGCAGCGACGCCGCGUGACUGAUGAAGUCCUUCGGGAUGUAAAGGUCUUUUUUGGGGGAAGAAGGAUGUGACGGUACCCCAAGAAUAAGCCCCGGCUAACUACGUGCCAGCAGCCGCGGUAAUACGUAGGGGGCGAGCGUUGUCCGAAUUCACUGGGCGUAAAGCGCGCGUAGGCGGGUUCCUAAGUUGGUGGUGAAAUGCCGAGGCUCAACCUCGGAACUGCCUCCAAAACUGGGAGCCUUGAGGUAUGGAGAGGGAAGUGGAAUUCCUGGUGUAGCGGUGAAAUGCGUAGAUAUCAGGAGGAACACCUGUGGCGAAGGCGGCUUCCUGGCCAUAAUCUGACGCUGAGGUGCGAAAGCUAGGGGAGCGAACGGGAUUAGAAACCCGUGUAGUCC
rnacentral:rRNA from 1 species